AGGCUUGUAGCUCAGGUGGCCAGAGCGCUCCCCUGAUAAGGGUGAGGUCGGUGGUUCAAGUCCACUCAGGCCUA
rnacentral:tRNA from 1 species